rnacentral:rRNA from 1 species
UACGAAGGGGGCUAGCGUUGCUCGGAAUCACUGGGCGUAAAGGGUGCGUAGGCGGGUCUUUAAGUCAGGGGUGAAAUCCUGGAGCUCAACUCCCAGAACUGCCUUUGAUACUGAGGAUCUUGAGUUCGGGAGGAGGUGAGUGGAACUGCGAGUGUAGAGGUGAAAUUCGUAGAUAUUCGCAAGAACACCAGUGGCGAAGG